UUGGGAGCCAGAGAUUCCUGCUCCCAGGUACAUAAGUACGUUCUCUCCCUCCCCAUCAACAGAGUCCUACCAGCAAGGGCUCCUGUCUGCCACCAUCCUGUAUGAGAUCCUGCUGGGGAAGGCCACGCUGUACGCGGUGCUGGUCAGCGCCCUGGUGCUGAUGGCCAUGGUCAAGAGGAAGGAUUCCUGAGACCGGCUGCAGAAGUGCCUUCUGAGUCAUUGCUAACCCACAGGUUCUCCCUCACGUGCUUCCCAUCUGCGCUCCCGGAGAGCAAUUCUCUCUCCACCUCCCAUCUCCUUCCAUCAUGAUAUGUGUCCCUUUCUUUCUGCUGCCCUGCGGACCGAGGACCUCAACCCUGAAUCUGAAGUAGACAAAAACAAUAAAAGUGUCACACUUGA